rnacentral:ribozyme from 1 species
UGAAUUCUUGAUUCUCUGUAAUGGGAUGGGAUCCGAAGCCCCAGUGAGGGAUAAUACAGACUCUCCCAUCCAACUCCUAUUCCGACACGUCCUCGUCGUGCAGAGUGGUAACAUGUGUCACCACAUAUCCAAGCUUGGGUACGUGGGCGCGGG